rnacentral:rRNA from 1 species
GAUAAACGCUGGCGGCGCACAUAAGACAUGCAAGUCGAACGGACUUAACUCAUUCUUUUAGAUUGAGAGCGGUUAGUGGCGGACUGGUGAGUAACACGUAAGCAACCUGCCUAUUAGAGGGGAAUAACAGUGAGAAAUCAUUGCUAAUACCGCAUAUGCUAACAGUAUCGCAUGAUACAGUUAGGAAAGGAGCAAUCCGCUAAUAGAUGGGCUUGCGUCUGAUUAGCUAGUUGGUGAGGUAACGGCUCACCAAGGCGACGAUCAGUAGCCGGUCUGAGAGGAUGAACGGCCACAUUGGGACUGAGAUACGGCCCAG